CCGAUCUGAAAAUGGUCCUGACCUGAAAGAUAACAUGGUCUCACAUCAAGGAAAAACUGAGGAGGACCAUGAGCAGAAGAUAAAGAUUUAUGAAUGAAAGAACAAAAGUGUGAAGGCAUCACCUGUACGCUGGAUGGCGUCUCUCCACUGAAGAAGGAGGAGAAAAGAAAGAAGCAAGGGAGAUUAUCAGGGAUGGAAGUGAUGAAGAUUUGCAUUGACUCCACCUCACUGCUGAAAAUGAAAAGCAUGAAGACUCUGCCUCAGAUUUCUUUACUGUGUCUGUUUUGAAAUGACUGGAUUCAUCAAGGCUGCUUUGAAAAGACACAAAACUCAAGAAAGUGGAUCCAUCCAGUCCUCAGGACCAGAUUCUGAAGAGUCUUCAGACAAAGUGACAUUAAAGUUAACUUCUGAUCCAUGAUGACGUAUUGCAAAGAGGCGUUUAUGUCCAGAAGUGAGGAACACAUUUGUUUGUAGAGUCGUACCAAAAUGAUUUUCAUCUUCCAAUCAGCUUCAUAUUACUCAUCACUUUCUCAAUGAACAAGUGAAAUAAGGCAAGUUUAUUUAUAGCACAUUUAAAAGACGUGUUGAGAGGAUAUUAAAGAUCACAGACAUUUAUGAAACCA